GGUCCUAUAGUCUAGUGGUUAUGACUCCUGGUUUUGAUCCAGGCAGCCGCGGUUCGAACCCGCGUGGGACCU